AACGAACGCUGGUGGCGUGCUUAACACAUGCAAGUCGAACGAGAAAAUUUCCUUCGGGAAAUUAGUAAAGUGGCGCAAGGGUGAGUAUCACGUGAAUAAUCUGCCCCUCGAGAUCGGGAUAACAUGGUGAAAACUAUGCUAAUACCGGAUAAGACCACAUUUCAUAAGAAAUGCGGUAAAAAGGAGUCUCAAUCUUCACUCGAGGAUGAGUUCGCGGACCAUUAGCUUGUUGGUGAGAUAAAAGCUCACCAAGGCAACGAUCAAUAGCUGUUCUUAGAGGAAGAUCAGCCACAUUGGGACUGAGACACGGCCCAGACUCCUACGGGAGGCAGCAGUGGGGAAUCUUGCACAAUGGGGGAAACCCUGAUGCAGCGAUGCCGCGUGAGUGAAG
rnacentral:rRNA from 1 species